CCCCAGGGGAGGGAAACGGACAGGGACUCCAAGAGGCGCAGGCUUGUGUGAGGCUGGCUGCCCGCCUGGCCCAGUGGCAGGGGCUCUGCCUCACUUUGCACUGAUUAAUUUUAAGCAAUUGGAAGAUUAUACCUUAAUAUGGGCUUUGGUUUAUAUUUGUUUUUAGUUGUCGUGGUGACGGAAAUGGCUCCUGUGUCUUAGACAACAGCUUGGGGUGGGGGGGGGCGGGCUGAGGAAGGGCUGGAAGCAUUGGGCAGUGUGAGUGGUCGGCAGGCCUCCCACCAGCUUCUGCACUUGCUUCCUGGGGCCUCCGCAUGGGCAGCCCAACGCCUUUGGCUUACUGGCCCUCAGGCCUCCUGCUUCUACUUGGGGCCCAGAUGGGUGCCCAUGGCCCUGUGUCCUGCCCCAGGUUCCCCACAUGGCCCUCGUCACAGAGAGCCCAGGCCCGUGCUCUGGCCUGGGCUGCUGCUGUCUCCAGACAGCCCACCCUUUUGAAAGGAUGGAGGUGACUGGCGUGGGGACUCAGUUUUAUAAAGCGAGAGGAGUCUGCUCUGGCCCCUUAGAAUUCACUGGCGGUUGAAUUAAAUGUGGCUGCACCACAUCACAUCUUGUCCUGUGUCUCGCUCUUUCUCCCGCCCUGUUUUAGAAACCCAUCCCAAGGCCUGCUGUCACCUUCUCCCAAGUGAGCAUCAGACUCUGAGAGCCCAGGUCUGCAGGGAAGGCUGUCCCCCCCCCCCUCCCCCCAGCACAUCCUGAGGCUGAGUGUUGUACUGGGUCAGGUAUGUUUCCUUGGCACUGAAGGCACGAUUCUAGGGCUGAAGGGCAAGAGCGGCCAGGAUUCAGGGAGGCCUCCCACCUGACCCAAGGUGAGGGGCCCAGGGCGCCUGGGAGCCAACUUCUCCUGAGUUCAGGGGGAGUGCAGGCAUGACCUCUGUGCCCUCUGGUGCUCUAUCCCACAGCUGCCGAGGCGAAGAGAUCAGGGGCUCGGGCCCCACCUGGCAGAGAGCAGCUGCCCGCACCUUUGCUGGGAACAGGUCAGAGCACAGGUGCAGGACACAUGUCCCCAGUUUGUGCCCUGGCCCACUGACUACCUCACCCCUGACCCAGUGUCCCCAGACUCAAGUCCCUUCCCCAGCCUUGGAAAUCAAGGUGACUCUUUCUGGGCUUGAUUCGAAAUAAAUAUUUAUUACCUGCCUGCUGUGUGCACAGCCUUAGCUCAGCUGGAAGAAUCAAGCAGCAGCCCCCAGACCUGGCCCUGGGUGGGAAAACUGUGGCCCGACACAUUAAGUAACAGUAAAAGCGGUCACAGGGCGGGCGGUGGGUAGCAGGCUCUGAGCCCAGGGGAGGCACGACCAGGGUGGCCAGAACGGCCAGGAGCCUUCAUGGGUCAUUAGCUUGCUUAAUGGCCUUGCAAUAAGCAGCUCUCGCCAGCUUCCCUCUGAGGUGCCCCGAAGGAGACAGAGGUCACUGCGGUGGUCCAGUUCCUGCUCCAGGCAGCUGGCACUGUCCGCCCCCCUGCCAGGGGCUGCAGGAUGCAGGGUCAAGGAGCAGGAGAACUGAGUCUGCCUUGUGCGGGCACAAAGGCGGCCUUAGGGCCAGGGACCCAGCUGGGGAGCAGCUGCCGGCUCAGGGCCUGCCUAUGUGCCAGGCCUUAGGGAGACUUUGGGGGAGGAGGAGUGGUGGGGGAGGGGGGCGGCUGUGAGCCGGAGGCCUUGCUCUCCCAGUGGCCAAAGUACCUUAGGACAAGACAGCUGCUUCCCUUUGACCCCACGAAGCCCAGGCCACUGGGUCAGGGGGUGGCGGUGGGGCAGGUGGGCACAGUGGCUCCUGGCGAGUGAUGCAGAAAUGUGAGUUGGCACAGAGAUUCUGCUGCCCAGCCCCCGCUCACCCAGCUUGAGAGCCGGGAAGGUGUGUGCGGAGCUGGCGCUUGUGGCCCACAGCAGGCAGCCGGGCAGACACGAGGGAGUGGGCAAUGCCCAGGAAGUGCUUCUGGGUGAACUUGGCCACGACUAUCACCACCGACACGACAUGGUAGAGCCCUACGUAGCUGGGGAGGCGUGUGGGGUCGGCACCCCCUCCCGGAGAGGAGACCAGAGCCCUGCACUCAGCCAGGUGGGAGAGGGGGCAGGCUGACACAGCCUGGGCACUUCCCAUGAGUGGUCUGCGACCCCGCACCCGCCUGGGGUUGGCGGGGAGCCAGGAGCAGAGCGCGUUACCCAGCAGACAGAACGAGAGACAGGGAAGGGCAGUGUCUUUUGCGAAGGAGGUACCUGGGGUGGAAAGAACUCUUGGCUUCCUGCUGGAGCUAGUGGGCUUCUCCAGGACUCGGGGAGCAGGUGAGAGGACAGGAGACCCCACUCUCCUGUGAGAGGGUGAAGCCUAGAUGCAGCUGUUCUGGGAAGCAGGGGUGGGGGCCUGAAGGGUCAGAGGAGCCCAGGCCAGGAGAGCCUUCCCAUAUCCCGCCAGGAAGCCCGAGCUCUGGGGCCUAUUUGUCACUAUAGACCACCCACUCCAGGUCCUGGCUGCAGCCCCGCCCUGGUCACAGCCUGGCCACUGCUCCUGGACCACCUACUGCCCGGCGGCUGGGCUGGUAGCAGGCCUCAGUGGCGGGAGCCAGACUGUGACACUGCGGGCCAGCCGGCCUCGUCCUGUGCAAAAGAGGAGUGUGGUCAGCAGCACCCCAGGAGAGGGACCACAAGUCCAAUCCCAGCGCUGAGACCAAAACCCCAUCCCCGAGGUCAGGUCUGUGUCAGCAGAAGUGGCAACACCAGGAGAGAGCCUUUGUCAGGCCCUGCAGGGCUUGUGCAGGCCUGGGAAGACAGGGCCACUCAAGGGGAGGGCCUCUGACACGUUUAGGGAAACCUUUGUCACCUGGCUCUCAGGAGAGCGAGGAGGCCACAGCCCUAGGAGAGGGGCAGCCACCUGGUCACUGAGAUUCCGGGUUCACCACUGCCCACCUUGAGACAGCUGAGCUGUUGCUUCCCCCGCCCCCGCCCUGUUCAUGAGAGGGAGGACUGCUCACCGUCACUCCCUGGCCCACGCGCACAUCUGUGGCCACAGGAGCCACCCCAAUAUGUGUUUGUUGAAUUGAAUUUGCUGUGUGAUUCUCUGCCUAGAACCUCCCUUCAGGCCAUGUUCCCUGGUGAAUUUGGUGAAUUGAUGUUUAGCAUUUUUGUUUAUUUGUUGGUUCUUUAACAAAAGGUUGUUUUGGUUUGAGAUUCAGCAAAAACAUAGCUGCAUUCAGCUUCCUCCCCAUUCAGGAGUCAGUAAAUGAGUUGUUUUCCAGUCUGCCGUGAGUCCUUGCCUCAAAUGAGCCUCCAACAAGAUAAUGCAUUUAAAAGCCCUUGGAAAAGUACCAGGCCCCACGCACAUUGAGAUGCUGUCCUCAUGGGAGCGGUGUCUCAGCCCUGCACCCUGAGCCAGGCUCAGCUCGCGGAGAAUGCUGCCCAGGUGGGGGUCCUUGCACACAUGGCUAGGACAGGGGAGAGAGGCUGCCUUCAUCCUCUUGCUGCCAGUUAGGUCCCUAAACCCAGGCCCGAUGGCCCAGGGAACACUGUGUCUUCCGGGCAGCAUGUGGGGGCCAGGGGCCAGCGUGUGAGGGCAGGAGUCCCCAGAAGGCCCGCACUCCCUCAAGGGGCAGAACUGGUCCGCAGGGACUUCCACCUGGUGCGCUGGUUUCACUUCAGUCUCCACUGUGAUCCUGAAAGCUUUGGGGAUCAGUCCAGGGCACAUCCUUCAGUCAAGAAACAAAAUGAAAAAACAAAACCCCCCAAAUCGAAAACCUCAGAGACCUGGUUUAUAUUCACCGUUAGCACAGUUAGAACGCAGGUGGCCUCUAGCCUAAACUAAAACGCCCCAUGCUGCUAGGACCCCUUCCCCCACCUCCAAAUCCAUUUAGGAAGUUUCCACAAACUCCGUAACAUCACCUCUUGGUGAUGCCCGGGACUUCUUCUUUCCACCCACGCGUUGGGUGGCUUUCUGUGGCUACUUUGCAAAUUUGGGGGGAAGAGGGGGACCUGUGUUCUCUCUGCUUGAUUUCUGCUUCUGUCCUAAGACCUCUGGCCUUUGGAGCUCCUCCCCUACAGCGGAGGAAGAAUCAAUAGACGCACCAAGCCUGAUGCAGACAGACGCAGCGGCUCAGGGCAGCUCAUCGCUGGCUGAACUCCCCAGGGAGCCCCAGCGUCCUCACCUAUGAAAUGGAUGGGCCCUAGACCCCUCUGGUUUCCUGUGACCCGAGAGCAGGAUGCUGAGUCUGCUGCUGAAAGGUUUGGCUCAGCAAACAGGACUUGGCGGAGGCCGGCUCCUGGCCCUGCACUGCGCACCAGGGCCAUCCACUGACUCCUGAGCCUCAGUUUCUUUGUCCCGCAAACCAAAGAGAAGGGGCUGGAGCAUGAUGGCGACCUGCAGCCAGGUGCAGCUGCAGCUGGUGCUCCAAAAUGAAGGCACGUUGGCGUUUGGCGCUGAGCGUUGCGGCAGAGGGACCGGCGCAAGUGGACAAGGACGACAUUCACACCUGCACUGGCUUCUGAGGGCCCCGCAGGAUCCUGCCAUGCUGCCCUCACCUGUGAAGGGCUUUUUUUUUUUUUUUGGAGAUUUUUCAGACACUAAACAAAUGCGUCCCGUGAGUCGAAAAGGCUUGAAAGGGCUUGGCGGCACAGCCCUGCCAGCCAGCUGGGGCCCAGGAAGGCGCCGUUUCCUCCUGUGGCUGGAGAACAAUGAAGUCCCGUUUCCUCCACCGCUCAGAGAGAAGAGAACAGAAGACAACAAGGAGAAAGGGGAAGGAAGGAAAGAAGGACAGACAUCCGGACACAGUUCCUGAUCCCUCCGUGGUCCUCUUUUAAGCCCAGAGCUACUGCCUUCACAUCGAGAGAGAUUUCCUUCGCCCGGGAUAUUUCUGCACCCGGGAAUGACCUUUCUCCCACCUCCACUCGAGAGACCCCGACCAUCCUUCACGCCAGCUCUUCCUACAGGACAUCCUGCCGCGCACCAGCUUCCCAGCACCCCUCACGGAGGCGUGAAGUCCUUGCCGGCGCCUUUGGGCUGGGCUCCCAUUGUCGUCGCGGGGGCGUGCACAGACGCAGAUACAAGAUAAAGGAUGGGCCUGUCCAGCCAAGGUGAGCGGAGUGUCAUCACCCUGGAGCGAGUGGCGCGGACAAUCAUUCACACAGACGAUUUCUUCCGAGAUGGACAGCUUCUCGCCCGGCCUCGGGGAGCUGGGAGUGUGACCUUGGGCAAGUUAUUUGCUUUUGGGGGCCCUGACGCCCCUGUGAGAUGAGCAGCCCCUGCCAGCCAGCCGCCGUGCAUCUGCGAGCCCUCGCCACACCUGCCCAGGAAACAUCACAACCUGCCAGGCAGGGCCAGGCAGGGGCGGCCGGCCACUGGCGCCAUCCCGGUGGGCUGAGCUUGGGCCUUCCCCAGCGGUUUGUCUGACCUCAGCUGCGGGCACGUUUUCCCAGCAGGCCUCCCGCUAAGGAGACAACAGGACUGGCGCCCGGUGUCACCAGCGAUGGGGCUGUACUGAGGGGGUGGCACUCCCCGUGGCCCGGUUUCCUCGUCUGUCGAACAAGGAUGGCGAUCAUGCAAAGUGCUUGGUUCUUACUGUUGCUGCUACUGUGUCCACCAGGACAUUUCAAUAAUAAAGUCCAAGGUGGCAUGGCCUGUA